rnacentral:rRNA from 1 species
GCUACCAUGCAGUCGAGCGGAACGAGUUAUCUGAACCUUCGGGGAACGAUAACGGCGUCGAGCGGCGGACGGGUGAGUAAUGCCUAGGAAAUUGCCCUGAUGUGGGGGAUAACCAUUGGAAACGAUGGCUAAUACCGCAUGAUGCCUACGGGCCAAAGAGGGGGACCUUCGGGCCUCUCGCGUCAGGAUAUGCCUAGGUGGGAUUAGCUAGUUGGUGAGGUAAGGGCUCACCAGGGCGACGAUCCCUAGCUGGUCUGAGAGGAUGAUCAGCCACACUGGAACUGAGACACGGUCCAGACUCCUACGGGAGGCAGCAGUGGGGAAUAUUGCACAAUGGGCGCAAGCCUGAUGCAGCCAUGCCGCGUGUAUGAAGAAGGCCUUCGGGUUGUAAAGUACUUUCAGUCGUGAGGAAGGCGGCGUCGUUAAUAGCGGCAUCGUUUGACGUUAGCGACAGAAGAAGCACCGGCUAACUCCGUGCCAGCAGCCGCGGUAAUACGGAGGGUGCGAGCGUUAAUCGGAAUUACUGGGCGUAAAGCGCAUGCAGGUGGUUUGUUAAGUCAGAUGUGAAAGCCCGGGGCUCAACCUCGGAAUAGCAUUUGAAACUGGCAGACUAGAGUACUGUAGAGGGGGGUAGAAUUUCAGGUGUAGCGGUGAAAUGCGUAGAGAUCUGAAGGAAUACCGGUGGCGAAGGCGGCCCCCUGGACAGAUACUGACA